CUUAAAUUGAAGAGUUUGAUCAUGGCUCAGAUUGAACGCUGGCGGCAGGCCUAACACAUGCAAGUCGAGCGGUAGCACAGAGGAGCUUGCUCCUUGGGUGACGAGC
rnacentral:rRNA from 1 species